CAGGAGCUUCUGCUACCCCGGGAGCUGCUGCACCCCAGCCGUCUGGCUGGCCAGCACGGCAGUCUCUCGGGCCCUGCUGAGCAAAAAGAGAUAAUGAAACUUAGGCCAGAGUAUCACAAGGCUGUAGAAGAAAACGAAAAGCUGGGAACUGCUAAGAAGUUCACAGGUGGCUUCCAAAACAGUUGUACCAAUCUAACUGAACACACAAGGGGAGAAGUGCAUCACAGAAGCGACCUUUCAGAGGGCACCAGUCUAGCUACCUGUGAACACACCCAGGUGAGCUUGAAAGACCAGACUCUGCUGAAAGGAAAUGACACAGUGGGAAAAGAAUCCAGGAGGCAUCCAUGAGGUCUUAAACCUCCCAAGCCCUUUGUCUUAGCCCGAGGCCAGCUCUACAAAAGGGUCCUCCUUCGUGUCAGCUGUUGGGUAGCCCACCAGUGAUGUGGAUGACAAACACUACUACAGAGAGAUUUACAGCAAACGGCAGACUGAAAAAUCCUCUCCAGUGAAAGGUUUCAAUUCCAGAAAUCAGUAAGAUCUCUACUGAACCUGAUGACCAAAGACUGUAACCUAACACUGAACAGAAGCCAAAAGGGAUGUUUCUAAUACAUCACCAUGCUGCAGAAAAAGCAUCCAUGAUGCGCAUAGUCAACUGGGCAGAUCAAAGUUUCCCAAGACCGCUAUUGAGAAUUUCAAAUCCACAAGCAAGGAGUCAGCACAGAUAAAGAGGUGUUGGAAACUUCAGUAUUAAUAUCAAACUUGUAUCCAAGUUAUUCCACUGAUGUCCUAAAGCAUGUUUUGGACCAGUAUUGUAAGAGGAAUGUAUUUAACAAAGCAGAAAUAGACUGAGGCUUCACCAGCAGAGCAAGGAACCCAGGACUGAAACAUAAGGGGUUCUUCACAUGUAAACUCUGAUAUGCUGGUACAAUUUAGCAGGAAAAACUGGCCUUAUGAACAUCAAAUUUGCUGUACAAAAUGCUUUGUACUAGUCGCUUGUAACUGAUAACACUGUCUGUCUUGUUUUUGUUAAAUCAAAGUAAAUUUGGGAAAGUACGUCAAAUAAAAGACUGCUCAAGUGGAUGUGAUCACCUCAAAACAGAA